UACGUAGGGUGCAGGCGUUAAUCGGAAUUACUGGGCGUAAAGGGCUCGUAGGCGGCCAACUAAGUCAGACGUGAAAUCCCUAGGACUCAACCUAGGAACUGCGUCUGAUACUGGAUGGCUUGAAUCCGGGAGAGGGAUGCAGAAUUCCAGGUGUAGCGGUGAAAUGCGUAGAUAUCUGGAGGAAUACCGGUGGCGAAGGCGGCAUCCUGGACCGGUAUUGACGCUGAGGAGCGAAAGCCAGGGGAGCAAACGGG
rnacentral:rRNA from 1 species